GACGAACGCUGGCGGCGUGCUUAACACAUGCAAGUCGAACGGAAAGGCUCCAGCUUGCUGGAGUACUCGAGUGGCGAACGGGGGAGUAACACGUGGGUAAUCUGCCCUUCACUGUGGGAUAAGCCUGGGGAACUGGGUCUAAUACUGGAUAUGACCUUUCUCCUUAUGGGGUUUGGUGGAAAGUUUUUCGGUGUAGGAUGGGCCCGCGGCCUAUCAGCUUGUUGGUGGGGUGUUGGCCUACCAAGGCGACGACGGGUAGCCGUCCUGAGAGGGUGAUCGGCCACAUUGGGACUGAGAUACGGCCCAGACUCCUACGGGAGGCAGCAGUGGGGAAUAUUGCACAAUGGGCGGAAGCCUGAUGCAGCGACGCCGCGUGAGGGAUGACGGCCUUCGGGUUGUAAACAUCUUUCAGCAGGGACGAAGCGUAAGUGACGGUACCUGCAGAAGAAGCACCGGCUAACUAUGUG
rnacentral:rRNA from 1 species